UACAGAGGUCUCAAGCGUUGUUCGGAUUCAUUGGGCGUAAAGGGUGCGUAGGCGGCGCGGUAAGUCGGGUGUGAAAUCUCGGGGCUUAACUCCGAAACUGCAUUCGAUACUGCCGUGCUUGAGGACUGGAGAGGAGACUGGAAUUUACGGUGUAGCGGUGAAAUGCGUAGAUAUCGUAAGGAAGACCAGUGGCGAAGGCGG
rnacentral:rRNA from 1 species